rnacentral:rRNA from 1 species
AUUAACAGGAUUAGAUACCCUGGUAGUCCACGCCCUAAACGAUGUCAACUAGCUGUUGGGGCCUUCGGGCCUUGGUAGCGCAGCUAACGCGUGAAGUUGACCGCCUGGGGAGUACGGUCGCAAGAUUAAAACUCAAAGGAAUUGACGGGGACCCGCACAAGCGGUGGAUGAUGUGGAUUAAUUCGAUGCAACGCGAAAAACCUUACCUACCCUUGACAUGUCUGGAAUGCCGAAGAGAUUUGGCAGUGCUCGCAAGAGAACCGGAACACAGGUGCUGCAUGGCUGUCGUCAGCUCGUGUCGUGAGAUGUUGGGUUAAGUCCCGCAACGAGCGCAACCCUUGUCAUUAGUUGCUACGAAAGGGCACUCUAAUGAGACUGCCGGUGACAAACCGGAGGAAGGUGGGGAUGACGUCAAGUCCUCAUGGCCCUUAUGGGUAGGGCUUCACACGUCAUACAAUGGUCGGGACAGAGGGUCGCCAACCCGCGAGGGGGAGCCAAUCCCAGAAACCCGAUCGUAGUCCGGAUCGCAGUCUGCAACUCGACUGCGUGAAGUCGGAAUCGCUAGUAAUCGCGGAUCAGCAUGUCGCGGUGAAUACGUUCCCGGGUCUUGUACACACCGCCCGUCACACCAUGGGAGUGGGUUUUACCAGAAGUAGUUAGCCUAACCGCAAGGGGGGCGAUUACCACGGUAGGAUUCACGACUGGGGUGAAGUCGUAACAAGGUAGCCA